GCUGACGUCACGCUCUCCAGCGACUCUUGAAACGUGGAGCUUUCGGUUUCCUGGGUUUGUUUUUCCACCAGGGAACAAGGACACAUCUUGGCUUGGACUGUAACACAGUCCGGGGUGCAUGGAUGGAGGGGCUCCGGUGCAUUGUGGGGACUUCAAAAACCCGCAGACCCUAAAGGAUGAAUGGAUGGAUGGAUGAAGACAGGGAGGAAGAGAGGCGGAAGAGAGGCAUGGAACAUCUUGGGCCCCUCAUUGGAAGAGAGGAACAUGUGAAAAAUUUCAAAGGCCUCGGGAAGUAUUGGUUUUUCAUGUAGUCCUGGAGAAGGAGAGGACUUCAAAGUCUAGGCUAAGAAAAGGUCACUAUGUCCACUGUUGUGAAGACUCUUUCACCUGAAGAAAAAGAAGUAAAUAAAGAAAAGAGGGAAUUUCCCAAGGAUUUAAAAAAAAGGUCACACUAAGAUCAUGGAUUUUGGUGUCAGAAAUCUAGAUUUGAAUCUUGGAU